UAAGUAGGCGGUGGAAAAUGAACCAAAUGGGAUUCCUUAAGUAAUUGCGAAUGAACAAGGAAUUGCUCAGCUUGAAAAUUGGGGCCUUCGGCCUUGAAUUGUAAUUUUGAAAUGUAUUGCCAAUGGAGGCGCAGGUGCAAGCCUAUUGAAAGAAAGCGUCAAUGAGGGUGAGAUUCCUUUUUGUCAUUUGCAGUCCUCCGUGCACGGUGUAUAUUUGACGAGUCACACUCCUCGGCAUUGGAAUGCAAAGUGGGUGGUAAAUUCCAUGUAAAGGAAAAUAUAUUAUUGAGACUGAUAGCAAACAAGUACCAUGAGGGAAAUAUGAAAAGGACUUUGAAAAGAGAAUUAAAAGAGUCUGCAUUUGCUGAACAGAAAGCAAACAGAAUUGAUCUACUUGGUGAGAUUGUUGCGUCCACUUGUGGGCGCAAUGGUUCUUGCCUUGGAUGUCAGCGUCUAUUUCUGCAAAUCAUUACCCUUGCACAUGAAUGGUAAUUUGCCUGUGGGCAUUGGAAUGCAUGUGUUUGCAAUGAUUUGUGUUUUGAUACAUGUGUCUGGCGUUCGUGUGUGUGCCUUCUUGCCAACAGGGGAGGGCUCUCCUCCCUGGGCACUGCCAAGCCCUUGCAC
rnacentral:rRNA from 1 species